rnacentral:rRNA from 1 species
UACGGGGGGGGCAAGCGUUGUUCGGAAUUACUGGGCGUAAAGGGCUCGUAGGCGGCCAACUAAGUCCGACGUGAAAUCCCAGGCUUAACCUGGGAACUGCGUCGGAUACUGGAUGGCUUGAAUCCGGGAGAGGGAUGCGGAAUUCCAGGUGUAGCGGUGAAAUGCGUAGAUAUCUGCAGGAACACCCGUGGCGAAAGCGGCGCGCUGGACCACUACUGACGCUGAGGAACGAAAGCUAGGGGAGCAAACAGG